CCCGUGUUCAUAAUGCCAUUUUUGCCGUGUAAGACGUAACAACAAUAACUUACCAUACAAAUAUAAACGAAAAAAAAAAUCAAAAACUACUGAAUGGAUUACGAUGAAAUUCAAACAGGUGGGAUACAAUAUGAUCAUAUGCAUGGUGUGAAACGGUUACGAUAAAUAUCAUGUCAGUUCGCAUUCUAGUGGCCAUUUUCGAAAUUCCAUACAGCUAUAAGAUUUGAAAAUUCGAGUAUACAAAAAUGAAAGCAAGCACUUCGAUAUUACAAUAUUUUCACAUAAGUCAAAAGGUCGCCACCUCUAAUGCAAAUGUAAUUUUAUUGAAUUUUACGAACACAUAUUUAUUUCUAACAUAGCUUCUCUCAUUUUAUUUUUUUUCCGGUUUUUCCGUGUCUCCCUUAAAUGUUACCAUAGAGCCAUUGUUUAAGAUUUUUCAGUGCCAUGCUAAUUUAGGGUAUUUUAAAUUUGUGACAGACAAAUGAACUAUGAAAACAAAUGUUACUACUGAAAUGUAAUUUUUUUAAAGAUUGGUUUAAGCCUUCAAUGUUAAGCAAACGUUAAAUUUUUCAUCAAUUUCCAUCAAGUUGUCCAUGUCUCCCCAAAAUGUUACCACGUCC
rnacentral:lncRNA from 1 species